GAACUUGAAUGAGUGUCUGUCUCAUUGUUUAUGUAUUUAAAGAGUCUUUGAAGACCAUAUCCUUAUAUCCUGACAAUUACCAAGAAUAAAUGUUUGCAAUUUGUGAAAUGAUCAUCUCACGAGGCUACUGAAAUAUGCCAUUGCCAGCCCCCCUAGUCCUUCAGGAAAGAUUCUGAUUAUUAACCUGAAAAGACCAAUGGCAUGUUAACCCAUGGGCAGUGGUAGCAGAAAAGCAAUGACAAAAGAAAAGGUAUUUCAACCUCUUGCCAUCCAUUACCGUCCCCACAAACAGCGCAUAUUUUCUAACAAGCAUGAGCCCCCCAUUGGUUCCAAAAUCCCAAACCCAUCAAUCAAAUCCCAUCAUCAAGUGGCUCCAGCUUGCCCUCCCAUGGUUAGUCAAGCUGGUUCAACUGAACCAAUUUCACAAAGGCAGCUAGCUAAGCUAUAUUGCAUUACAAAUACCAUUUAAGCCUCUUUGCUAUUGACUAGCUUAAGCUGCUACUCUCUGCUAGGCUCAGUUUAGCUUUGUUUAUAUGCCUUUCUAAUCAACAAGUCAAUUCAUCAAUUCUCUAGAACAACCUUAUACCUUAUUGGCAACCUUAAAUUCCAACCAAAGUACUGCACUUGCAAUCUUGUAGUGCAGGAUAUGCAAGAAAUGGAAAACCCAAAGGCUUCAACAGAUCAUCAGCUUGAGCCAAGGGAUACUUAC
rnacentral:lncRNA from 1 species